rnacentral:rRNA from 1 species
AUUUGUCUGGUUAAUUCCGAUAACGAACGAGACCUUAACCUGCUAACUAGAUUCUUCUAUACUAUAGAUGAUAUCUUCUUAGAGGGACUAUGUAAUACAAAUACAUGGAAGUUUGAGGCAAUAACAGGUCAGUGAUGCCCUUAUAUGUCCUGGGCUGCACGCGUGCUACACUGAUGCAUACAACAAGUGCCUAACCAGACAUGGUAUGGCAAUCUCGAAUAUGCAUCGUGAUGGGGAUAGAUCUUUGCAAUUAUAGAUCUUGAACGAGGAAUUCCUAGUAAGUGCAAGUCGUCAUCUUGCAUUGAUUAUGUCCCUGCCCUUUGUACACACCGCCCGUCGCUCCUACCGAUACCGGGUGAUCCGGUGAACCUUUUGGACUCAUUUGGGAAAGAUAAGUAAACCAUAUCACCUAGAGGAAGGAGAAGUCGUAACAAGGUUUCCGUAGGUGAACCUGCRGAAGGAUCA